GGAAGGUUGAUGGACUUAGUAUGAUUUGGGGGGCAUAAGAGAACUGUUUCCAAGCUAAAAAUGUUGUGUUUGAGAGCUAGGAAAAGGUAUCUAUGGUAUGAUUAGGGGGCAUAAGAGUCCCAUUUCCGAGCUAAAAAUGUUGUGUUUGAGAGCUAGGAAAAGGUAUCUAUGGUAUGAUUAGGGGGCAUAAGAGUCCCGUUUCCAAGCUAAAAAUGUUGUGUUUGAGAGCUAGGAAAAGGUAUCUAUGGUAUGAUUAGGGGGCAUAAGAGUCCCAUUUCCGAGCUAAAAAUGUUGUGUUUGAGAGCUAGGAAAAGGUAUCUAUGGCUCUUUCUGUUUCAUAUUGUAGAAGUGUUAGAAAUAGAGGAAGAAGGACAGCAAUGAUUUGGAGGGCAUAAGAGAACUGUUUCCAAGCUAAAAAUGUUGUGUUUGAGAGCUAGGAAAAGGUAUCUAUGGCUCUUUCUGUUUCAUAUUGUAGAAGUGUUAGAAAUAGAGGAAGAAGGACAGCAAUGAUUUGGGGGGCAUAAGAGAACUGUUUCCAAGCUAAAAAUGUUGUGUUUGAGAGCUAGGAAAAGGUAUCUAUGGCUCUUUCUGUUUCAUAUUGUAGAAGUGUUAGAAAUAGAGGAAGAAGGACAGCAAUAAUUUGGAGGGCAUAAGAGAACUGUUUCCAAGCUAAAAAUGAUGUGUUUGAGAGCUAGGAAAAGGCAUCUAUGGCUCUUUCUGUUUCAUAUUGUAGAAGUGUUAUUAUAGAAGUGUUAGAAAUAGAGUAAGAAGGAUCAGCACUGGUUCGAGGAGGAUCAUUGCAAGGAAAUAAAAGUUAAGUGAAUAAUAUAACAUAGAGGGACUGUACACAAAGAUGAAGAACAAGACCUAAGCAAACAACUAAUAAAAUAACAAAUAAAAAUCUGCAAUAAACAACAGCAACAACUCCCCCGCCCACCACCGCUG